AUUGAACGCUAGCGGGAUGCUUUACACAUGCAAGUCGAACGAGUGGCGGACGGGUGAGUAAUAUAUCGGAACGUGCCCAGUAGCGGGGGAUAACUACUCGAAAGAGUGGCUAAUACCGCAUACUCUUGGAGCUGCCUCUAUGGGCUUAGCUAUUUGGUGGGGUAAAGGCUCACCAAGGCAACGAUCCGUCGCUGGUUUGAGAGGGCGACCAGCCACACUGGGACUGAGACACGGCCCAGAUGCCUACGGGAGGCAGCAGUGGGGAAUAUUGGACAAUGGGGGAAACCCUGAUCCAGCCAUCCCGCGUGUAUGAGAAGGCCUUCGGGUUGUAAAGUACUUUUGGCAGAGAAGCGGUAUCUGCAGAAUAAGCACCGGCUAACUACGUGCCAGCAGCCGCGGUAAUAC
rnacentral:rRNA from 1 species